rnacentral:rRNA from 1 species
GAGCCGCAGAGACUGACCGAACAGACGUUCGCACCAACUCCCCUGAAGCCUGAACGGAGCGGCGGAGAGGAAGGGGAGAGAUCACCCGCCGGCGGCGAGGGGAGAUGGCCGGAGGCGAGGAAGGGUGGAGGAGGAGCGGCAUCGAGGUGAGCACCCUGCAGUUCGGCUACGACGGGGAGGCGCCGCUCUUCGCGCGCUUCAACCUCCGCGUCGCCCCCGGCUCGCGCUGCCUCCUCGUCGGCGCCAACGGAUCCGGCAAGACCACUCUCUUAAAGAUUCUUGCAGGAAAACAUAUGGUUGGAGGAAAGGAUGUUGUCCGUGUUCUUAAUGGUUCUGCUUUUCAUGACACACAGUUUGUGUGCAGUGGUGACCUUUCCUACUUGGGUGGUUCGUGGAGUCGGAAUGUCAGUUCAGUUGGUGAUGUUCCACUACAAGGCGAUUUCUCUGCUGAGCACAUGAUAUUUGGAGUUGAUGGGGUUGAUCCUGUUAGGCGAGAGCAGCUGAUUGAUCUACUGGAUAUUGAUCUGCAAUGGCGCAUGCAUAAAGUUUCAGAUGGACAGCGCCGCAGGGUACAAAUUUGCAUGGGUCUUCUUCAUCCAUACAAGGUACUCUUACUCGAUGAGAUCACCGUGGAUCUCGAUGUCGUGACCAGGAUGGAUCUCCUCGACUUCUUCAAGGAAGAGUGCGAGCAGAGGGAAGCCACGAUCGUCUACGCCACGCACAUAUUCGACGGCCUGGAGACAUGGGCGACCGACAUCGCGUACAUCCAGGAGGGCGAGCUGAAAAAGUCGGCGAAAUACUCGGACAUCGAAGAGCUCAAGACGGCCAAGAACCUGCUGUCGGUCGUGGAGUCAUGGCUGAAGUCCGAGACCAAACUCCCGAAGAAAGAGCCCGCGCGCGUCGAGAGCCAGCCCAGGCGCCCCUCCCCGUUCGACGCCUCCCCUUUCCGAGCGUCGCGCCACAUGGCCUACUACCGAUGAUGAUCGUGUAAAACCUCUACACCCAUUCCGGUGUCAUACAACUCUGGAGUCUGUAUCUUUCUUUUUCCUGUUCCUCAUGCAUCCCUGUAUACGGCAAUGUAUCUAUCUGAAGAACAAACAAGUCGAGCUUAAUUACCCUAUUCCCAGCAGGCCAUUACGCUCAUUAUUUCUACUGCACCACAUUCUGAAGAUUCUCAUCUAAAUACAGAUUAUACAGUGCUACAUUCAUUCAUUCAGUCAGUCCCUGUCUUUCUGUGAGGAAGUCUCCAUGUAUGCUGACAAAUUUGCUGCUCAUUUAUCUCAUCCUCACUUAGCC